UACCCCCUCUUCUUCACUGUUUGCACUUGAGAUCAGAAAUCGGCGAUUGCAUCGACGGGACGGCGUUCCUCUCUUUCUAUUUCCACUCCCCGUCUUCUACCAGCUCGUUUUCCUUCCUCGCUCUUUCCCUCCCUCUCAUUACGACGGUAACAAUUACUUAUUUCCCCGUAAAGCUAUUUGAAUUUUGGAUUCGCAUUCUGUGAAUUGCAAUUGUGAUUGUUCGUUUGUUUGUUUGUUUGUUUCGUUAACGACGUAUUUUUGGGGACAAAGCGGUAUAGCUCUGUUGAAGAAGUGAAAGAAGCAUACGGGAAGCUGUCUUCUAAGCGAUCUAAUAUGCUUAUGAGCUGAUGACGAAUCCUUUAUGGAAAAGGGACUAUGACAUAUUUGGCAUUGAUGAGCAAUCUGUGAGUAAUUGCUCUUGGACCAUUGAUUACCAUGUCCUGUUUUUUUUUCCCGGGAUUCCUCCAACCCUAUUCUCUUAACCAGAUCAUGAGUUGUUUCAUAAGUGACUAGAUGUUCUUGGCUGUAGCAUAUUAUUGACAAGAUUAACUUGCAAUACACUGGGGAAAGCUUUUCAGGCAUUGAUCUUCCAUUACUAGAUGCUACUACUUUUGGGUAGAACAAAAAGCAAAGAAGGAUGCCCAUUGUGGGAUGGAGGAAACAGUACAUAGAUUGCUUGUAGCUCCUAAGUUGCAAAUAAUUGGCUUUCUGGUGAUGGUUGAAAACUUGAACCUUGGGUUCAUUCCUUCACCAUGCUAUAGACAUUACAAUCUUUGUGUCAAUGGACUUCCUUCACUUGUUGCUUUUCCAUCGGGUUGUAAACGUCAGAUUGUCUUGUUAGGUUUGAGGGUGAUCUCUCCAUUGAUGCAGUCACUAAUUGGUUUGCAACAACAGUGCUGAGUUUACCUUGCUUUUUGUACUAUUCAAGGGAAUCACUGGUAAUUCAAGGCACUCACUAUCAUAAUUAUUUUAGAUGACAGUUUUGUUUUUCCUUCUUUCGAUAUUAGGGAUACUCGAUGUAUUUCUACUAUUUUGGCAGAAGAAAAAAUCAAUGGAUUCCAUGUAAAAAUCAAUGAGCUGAGCAUGGAUCUUCUGAAGGUUGAAGAUUGAUGGUUGGAUGGAGUGAAUUUGAGUCCCUGGUCCCCUUCUUGAUGAUGAUUAAUGGAGAUAGUGGUUUGAUAAUACACCGUUUCCUGUCCUUAGUAGCAGUGAUCAUUGUUAGUUCUUUAUAAUUAAUAGAGAUCUUGAAGGUUUUAGUCAUAUAAACAUGGUGUUUUAGUAGGGAUCUUCAUGUGAGAAGAAAGAGUACAGCUCUUGGUAUAUUAAUAUUACUCUCUUCUUUCUUUCUUUUUUUCUCUUACAAGUGGAAUCCUCCGUCGGUGUCCGAUGAUAAGCUGUCGUUGGAUUGGAAGCUUUGCAUCCAUCUCGGCUGGUUUGAUUCAAGCAUCAAACUUAGUACAUAGCCAUGGAAUUGUGAUCCAAAAAUUGGGAGAGAAGGAGCAGAAAUAUGUGUUCAAAUUGAGCCUGUCAAAGAUGACAGUGGGAUUUCUGAUGGUUCACAAGGACUAGAGAUGGUGUUCGUAGACUGAGUUUUUAUGGACCAACAAAGUCACACUCUGAAUUGUACAUGGGCUGGGAUUUUGAGAAAGCUCAUUCAUUAUUUACACCAUGUGUGUUUGCCAAUUCAUCAGGAAAAAAAAAGCCUCUCUGUUAUCAUUUCGAUCAAUGGAACUCUUGUAUUUUCAAUUUCAAUCAAUUGAGUACAAUUUACCAGAAAAUCAAUGAAGAUACUGCUCAAUGAGGGUGAGGAUGGUGGGAGUGAAUGAUAAGAUAGGGUUAAGGGCCUCCAAGAAGCUUCUUUCUCUAUUUGGCAAAGAGGGAUGUAAGAGUUAAAAGGAAAGACCUUCACACAUGAAUCCUAUCCGAAUAAAGUUUCAUGUUUUGGAACUUCCCAUUCCAAUCAAAUCAUAUAGAUCCGUAAAUAGAUUUGUAGAUAUAGCCACUUGCUAGUCGUUUCUCGAUUGUAUCUUUUUUCAGGGAAUAUGGUUCGCAAUUCUUCCUCCACU